rnacentral:lncRNA from 1 species
CUGAAAGUCGGUCGCACCCAGAGAAAUCUCCUAAGCAAAAUAACUAAACGUCGUUAGAAAAAAAAUUAUUACGCAGCUACCAAGGGAACUAGUACUAGAGCAGGUACACGAAUGUUCAUGUCAAAGAAUUAAGUUGUUAAAGCCUUCGAAACUCAAAAUCUAACAACUCGAUCAAUUCUUUCUUUGCCAGUCCUUCAUUAAAAAGGCACAAUCAUUGUUUACAUCUGAGAACGGUAAGUUGCCAGAUUUGUUUUAAAGCUUUAAAGCUUUUAUAAUGGCGUAAAUGAUAGAAUUAUGCAUUUCUCCUCCCCUCAUUCACGGAUACAAUAUUUUUAUCAUUUGAUAUUCUGACUUCUAAUGUUUCUGAACUCAUAUAUUGAUUGUAUUUUUGAAAACUCACGCUUGACUAUUAAAUGCAAUAUUAAAUAAAUCUCAGAUUGAGUGAGUGAAAAAUCGGUAAUAAAUCCGCAUCAACUUCACAUUAUUCUUUUACCGUAUUGUCUGAGAUGAUUAAAUAGCUGUAAAGAUUAACCUCCAAGAAAAAUCAACAUAUUUAUUUUAAUCCACUCUCUAAAUUAAGAUAUCUAAUUGCAUAGAAAUCCAAUGCCAAGAUAGUUUCUGUGAACGAACGUCUUGUCUUUCGCGCUCUUGUAUAUUUCUACCUGGAUAUUCUUAAAACGGACCAGGUGUUACUCACAACAGCGUUUCUCGCACCAUAAUACAGCUAUUUAACAUUUCGCAUGCAUGAUUACGAGGAAGUUUUAGCUUUACAAAAGGAACGGUCGAUGAAGGAACUUAUAAAAAUAACUGGUACUUCUUCGCGGCAAGACAUCCUUUUGUACCUCCCACAAAACACCCCUUAAAAAAAUGUUUUUCGUACACAAACCCCACCGUUUUCGGCCACGGAGAAUACGAAUUUGCAAAAGAAAAUUGGCAAAAAUCGGCAUUUUAAAUCCCCCACCCCACCCCUAAAUUCUUCAUUUUAAACUUUUUUCAGAAUUUUUUUUAUUUUUCAAAAUAUGCAGAAAAAUACGGAGAUUAUAGAAUUUCUAAAAAAAUUUCUGGUUAGGGUUUUAGGGUUAGGUUUAUGGAAAAAAAUGGGAAAGGAAGAAUGGGCUGCGGAGGGGGGCAAAAAAUUUCAAAAGUCUGAUUUUUGGCAAUUUUCUGGAAUCUCCUUAUCCGAAAACGUGGGUUUUUUGCAAAAUAAAUAAAUAAAUGAAAAUAAUAACAUGCAAACAUUACUUCACUCUGAUGAUGGCACUAUGAAAGUCUCGAAAUAUUGAAGGACUUGAGAAGUUUACUGUUACUCUUUUACUUGUUUCAGUCAUUUGACUGUGGCCAUGCUGGAGCACCACCUUUAGUCGACCAAAUCGACCCCAGGACUUAUUCUUUGUAAGCCUAGUACUUAUUCUAUCGGUCUCUUUUGCCGAACCACUAAGUUACAGGGACGUAAACACACUAGCAUCGGUUGUCAAGCGAUGUUGGGGGGACAAACACAGACACACAAACAUAUACACACAUGCAUAUAUAUAUAUAAACAUAUAUACGAUGGGCUUCUUUCAGUUUCCGUCUACCAAAUCCACUCACAAGGCUUUGGUCGGCCCGAGGCUAUAGUAGAAGACACUUGCCCAAGGUGCCAUGCAGUGGGACUGAACCCGGAACCAUAUGGUUUGUAAGCAAGCUACUUACCACACAGCCACUCCUACUGUUGAUAAAAAUCCCUCAAGGGUAUACAGAAAUGUGAAAUAUCAUUGAUAAAAGAGAUAAAAUUAGAACAGUUAUAUAUUCAAUACAUUAUAUACACAUAUAUCAUCAUUAUCAGUUAACAUCGUUUUCACGCUGACAAUGGUUGAACACUUUGACAGGAUUCAAUGUGACUGAAACAUUGAAAAAUACCUUAGGAAUUAGAACCCAGGUUCCAAAUUUCCCCAUUUCUGAGAGAGAAUAGUUUUAGCUUCUACUGUUUUGUUAUUUAGCCUAUAAUUUUUACACUAUCUGAAUAAGAUUGUAAUAAUGAAUUUUAAUACAAAUUAAAUAAUAUUUGCUUAUUCAGAUAAGUUUUAACCUAAGGUUUAUCAAUAUAGAAAUACAAUAAAGAUUUUAUUGCUUCUCUACUUUUUAAGCAUCCUUUAAAUGUUAUACAUUUUCUCUUUUAUUUCAGAUUAUCAGAAGACAUUUGCAGUAAAGAACUGUUUUAAUUCAGAUACUUCAACAAUAUUUAUCAUCUUUUAAAGACUAAGGAAACUUUUAUAAAGAACGGAUAUAACUUUAUUCAUAUAAAUCUAUGGUAGAAUUACUGUGAAAUAUUUUCAGAAAAGCUAAUAGCAAAAUUUCAGUAUUUCAUUGUCUGAAAUGUGUACAAGCUGAUUUUGCUUUCUAAUUAAUCUUGAACAAAUUUGCAAAAGAGUUUGCAACCUCUUCAGAUAUUAG